rnacentral:lncRNA from 1 species
UUUGACUUUUUAAAAAAUCUUUAAUUAUGGAACUAUUUGAAAAACAGAAAAAGGCAGAAAAUAAUACAGCAGACAUUGGGGAACUCAUUGCCCAGAUUUACCAGAUGUUCAUAUUUUGUCAUGUUUAUGUCAAGUAUUUUUACAGUAAAAUACAAAUACAGAUAUGGCUAAAAGCCCCAUCACCCCAUCUCAUUCCCUUCUACCUAUCACCACAGGCCACCAGUAUCCUUGAAGCUGGUGUGUCUCUGUCUCUUCAUGAGCAUUUAGCAUUAUUUUGGGUUUUUACAGUUUCCAAGUACAGGUAUCUCCCUGUAGCUAUCCUUUCAUAAUGUACAUUUCACUCAGUUAUUAUAUUUUUAGGACUUCGUCUAUAUUGGUACAUGUGGAUGGAGUUCACUUUAAUUGCUGUAUCUACAGGCAGUUUUUUUAUUCUUUGCUAUUUCAGAGAAUGCAGCAAUAAAAACCUUUUCUUUUUUUUUUUUGAGACUGAGUUUCACUCUGUCGCCCAGGCUGGAGUGCACUGGUGCGAUCUGGGCUCACUUCAACCUCGCCUCCUGGGUUUAAGUGAUUCUCCUGCCUCACCUCCUGAGUAGCUGGGAUUACAGGUGUGCGCCACCACACCCAGCUAAUUUUUGUAUUUGUAGUAGAGAUGGGGUUUCACCAUGUUGGCCAGGCUGGUUUCAAACUCCUGACCUCAGGUGAUCUGCCCACCUUGGCCUCCCAAAGUGUUGGGAUUACAGGUGUAAGCCACCGUGCCUGGCCAUCAAUAACAAUCUUUAUACACAUUUCUGGGUGCACUAAUGUGUCACACGUAACCUUUACAACAAUCACAACAUGCUGGAACUUGUGUACCCCUACAUGACCUUGGAAAAUUGCUUGAAGUCUCAGAAGCUUAGUUUCCUCAUCGGUAAAUUGGGGUAAUAAAAUAGCAUGCAUAUUGAUGAAGAUUCUGUGCUUCAAAGUAGAGGAAACACAUUUUGCCACCCGGAAAGCACUUCCUGAACAUGAGUUGUUUAUCGCUCAGGUAUUCGCCAUUCAGGAAGUGCUGAGCAUCCUCUCCUGUCAGGGGUGCAAUGGGCCGGACCUCAUGCCCACAUGCAGAUGAGACUGAUGGGUGCAGCGACAGAAAAGCACACAAGCCCCUCUGCUCACUGACCAAGCUGGAGUGGAAGACACAGGCGAGGCUCCCCAGAGGAAGUGGCACUGAGCUGAGACCUCAGAAGAUGAGGAGGCAAAAAAGGUGAGUGGGAGAUGGGAAGGUGGGAGGCUGGCGAGGCAGAGGAAGCAGCUAGUGUAAGGGAUGGGCUGACGCAAGAGAACAUGUUUGGAGCCUGAGAGGUGUGUGUGAGCAGGCGGCGGCAUAGAAAAAGUCUGGAAAGGUGGCAGAGCAGAGAGGCCGUACCCCAAGGCCACAGGGAGAUAGGGAAGGAUUUCAAGCAGAGGAGUGACAGGCCCGGAUUUGUGUGUAGGGAAAACUGGUCUGGUCUCGGCAUGGAGGUGGCAUGCAGACUGGGAGCUGGGAGCCCCAUGAGGGGAACGCAGAAGCGACGCCGGUAAACAUGGUGAGGGUGGAGCUAAAGUCACCACCACUUCUGCUAACAAGAAUCUGUCCCCAGGCCCUCUAGUAGCUGUUGCCUUCCUGAAGCUUGGGAUGCAUGCACAAAGAGAGCUGUGUCUGGCUCAUAGAUUGCGGACACCUGGUUGACCUCUUGAUGCCCGUGUAUCAUGUUUAGCUCCUAAGCCUCCCUUCUCUCACUGCAACAUCACACGGUGGUCACGCCUCCCACAACACGCAGUGGGCAUCAUCAAAGGAACAGCAGCUGACGGGAAUCGCCCCCAGCUCCGAGAGGUCUGAAUUCACACACCACACCCUACACUCUUCUUCUUGGGCUUGCUCAGCACCCUGUGGGGCACAGCACCCGGCCCCGCACUCUCAGGUUUCCAGGUGACAGGAGCCCUUUAGGCUUCUUGGCACCAAGGGCAUGGCUGGGUCCUCACCAAUGUCCCAUGAUGAGAGAUCCCACCAGCAGCCAGGCUGUAC